AAACCCAUGGUUACCACCCAUAUAGUAGAUCUUCGUAGUGUCUCAAAGAUAGAUUUCAGCAGAAUAUUAAGCAUGGCAACAGCUCUCAAUACUUGAUUAGAAGGUUUUUGAAGAUGAUAUUAAGAGCCGUAUUGGUACAGGGAAGAAAGAAUAUGUAAAAAAUAAGAAUGGUGCAGAGGUAACAAAGAAAUGGGCUCCAAAGAAAUAAAUAUAGUA
rnacentral:misc_RNA from 1 species